UUUCUUUGGUGUGGACAUCAAAAACUCAAGUAUCUACAGGGGCCAAGCAGGUCACCAAAAUGGGUGGUGCCCCUGGGUGGGGACGGGGUUGAACUGGAGAGCCACGUCCAGUCUUAAGUGAGCAGCGUGUUCGGCAACUGACAUGAGCUGAGCAGAGCAAAUAUGGUUGUCAGAGGUUCUGAUUUCUCUUCACUGGAAGAUUUGAAAGGCUAUCUAGUGAAUCAAUAUCUGAAAAUUCGGCUGUCCAAAAACAUCUGUCACCAUGGAUUGCCCAUACCUUGCGGCCCUGGGGUAGCCUCUCAGCUUAAGCCCAGUGUUCACCAAUCAGUUGCUAAUAACUGGAGCUGAAAGAGGGCUCUGCCCUAAUGCCAUUAUGUUCAAGAGCC
rnacentral:lncRNA from 1 species